GGGAUAACGCUGGCGGUAUGCCAACACAUGCAAGUCGAACGAAAGUUUAUCCCUUCUAGUCGCGGACGGGUGAAGUAUACUGGAGAAUCUACCUUUAAGAAGGGAAUAACAACUUGGAAACGAGUUGCUAAUGCCCUAUAUGCUUAGCGAGUGAAACAGAUUUAUCUGGCCCUGUAAGAUGAGCUCGGCGGCCCUGGAAUUAGCUAGGUUGGGUAGAAGGUAAAAGGCCUACCAAGGGCAACGAUCAGAUAACUGGGUUUGAGAGCGACGAUCAGCACACUGGGACUGAGACACGGGCCAGACUUCAUACGAGAAGAGCGACGACAGUGGGGAAUUUUCCGCACAUGAGCGAAAGCUUGACGGAGCAAUACCUGCGUGAGAGGAAGAAUGCCUGUGGGUUGUAAACCUCUCUUAUUUUAACGAGGAAGAAAACAUAUGACGGUUACCUAACAUGAAUAAGCAAUCGGUCUAACUCCGUCGCCAGCCAGCGCAGGUCAAUACGGGAGGGGAUGGCAAAGCGUUUAUCCGGGAAUUACUGGGCGUACAUGCGUCC
rnacentral:rRNA from 1 species